rnacentral:rRNA from 1 species
CCCGCUCAGAAACUCAAAGGAAUUAGACGGGGGCCCGCGACAAGCGGAGGAGCAUGUGGUUUAAUUCGAUGAUACGCGAGGAACCUUACCUGGGCUCGAACGUAAGAUGACUGUAGGUGAAAGCUUACAUCUCUUCGGAGCAUUUUACGAGGUGCUGCAUGGUUGUCGUCAGCUCGUGCCGUGAGGUGUCGGGUUAAGUCCCAUAACGAGCGCAACCCCUACCUUUAGUUGCCAUCAGGUAAUGCUGGGGACUCUAAAGGAACUGCCUACGCAAGUAGUGAGGAAGGCGGGGAUGACGUCAAAUCAGCACGGCCCUUACGUCCAGGGCUACACACGUGCUACAAUGGCCGAUACAGAGGGCAGCUACCUGGUGACAGGAUGCAAAUCUCCAAAGUCGGUCUCAGUUCGGAUCGGAGUCUGCAACCCGACUCCGUGAAGUUGGAUUCGCUAGUAAUCGCGCAUCAGCCAUGGCGCGGUGAAUACGUUCCCGGGCCUU